rnacentral:rRNA from 1 species
GGAAUCUUCCACAAUGGGCGCAAGCCUGAUGGAGCAACACCGCGUGAGUGAAGGAGGGUUUCGGCUCGUAAAGCUCUGUUGUUAAAGAAGAACACGUAUGAGAGUAACUGUUCAUACGUUGACGGUAUUUAACCAGAAAGUCACGGCUAACUACGUGCCAG